rnacentral:lncRNA from 1 species
GGCGAAGGCUUCGCGGAAUCGAUAACCCUUUCGAGCUAACGCCAACGGAGUUCCGGAGGCUAUAUAGACUUAGUCCCGGCACGGCUGAAAAUGUGGUAUCGCAACUUGAUAACCAGUUAAGAGGAUCACGAUAAACAGCGUUAUCGACCGAAAAGCAGGUUCUAGCGGCUCUUAAGGUUUUAUGCCACUGGAUGCUAUCAACGCCCAGUUGGAGAACAGUGGGGCAUUUCCAUGAGCCAAACAUCGAUAAGCGUUGCAUACACCGUGUGACUGACGCGAUCAACAAUUCAAUGUUUAACCCUAAAGUGAAGUUCCCUAUGACACAAUUGGAGUGCCAAGCGGCAAAGGAAAUUUUUGCGUCUGCACCUUCACCAUUUGUAGCAGGAACUAUCGGUGCAGUCGACUGCACUCAUGUCUCUAUUUUGGCUCCCAAAAAUAACGAAUCAAAUUAUGUCAAUCACCAUGUGCACCAUUCGAUCAACGUGCAAAUGAUAUGUGACCCAAAUCUUAAAAUUUUAAACGUAAAUGCAAAAUUUCCGGGAGCACGGCAUGAUUCAUUUAUUUGGAGCUUCUCUGCAGCGCGUCGGGUCAUGCAGCGAUCAUUUUAAAAUGGAAAUCACAACACGUUUUUGAUUGGCCAUUCUGGUUAUCUAUUGGAGCCAUGGCUGAUGACACCUCUACCUAACGAUCCAGAAGGAACGCCAAAGAUUCGGUACAAUGAGGCACUAUGUAAAGCGCGUAACCCGAUCGAGAGACUGUUUGGCGUCCUUAAGGGUACGUGGCGGUGCUUAUCACAGCAAAGCAGCAAAGGGUUCUGUUGUAUGACCCCGGUUUUGCUGGCCGAGUAGUCAACGCGUGCGCAACAUUGCAUAAUCUUCGUUUGGACGAUCAAACAAGCGAUUUCGACGAUAGGGUUGUUUAUGAUCCCGAAAUACUAAGCACUGAUAACAAUUCCGAAGCAUCUUCUUCAAUAGGAAAACGUGUCCAACAACGAAUUAUAACAAUUUUUUUUAAAUAUUCAUUUUACUAAAUUUAUAUGCCAUCAAGGAUCGUCUCGAUGGUAGGCCAGCCAUCAGCCGAGGCACGCAAGUAAGUGCUAUUACAGCAAAUUAUAUGAACUUCGUUUAAGUAUAAAAAUAAAUGUUUUAUUUUACUUUAUUUUGCAUUUAUAAUGAACGACUACAAUAAUUUUCUAGACUUGUUCAGUGUACGUCAACUAACUCCUUUAUUUGUGAACGGGUUUCAUCGGCAUCUUCCUCUUCACAAGACAAUGAUGUUCAUAAGCAUGGGCAACAAUUGAUGCAUAAUACUUAUAUGUAAUGCAUUUUUAACAAAUCAAUAUGUAGUACUUUCCACAAUCAAUUACAACGAUAAAACUGCAGCUGUGGGGCAACCGCCGUUCUUUAUGGUUGUUUUGGAUAGUUUAACUGUGCACAGUAAAAUGUCGCUAAUCCACAGGUAAUACAGAGCAAAUUUUUUGGAACUAAGCAGCGAAAUUUAUUGUUUUGACUUUGAUCCCUGGUGUCUCCGAAUGAAUUCACUUGACUAUUUCUGUUUAGUCGCCGUAAAGCAAGGCCCGCAAUUGUUCUGGUGGUUGAUUUAACGGUGGUAAUUUUAUUGGUUCUUACAGCCUUAAUCAAAAAGUUCCAUACAUGCGCCGGCUUUAGUAGAAAGCUCGUUCACACCAAAAUCGAACCCGUGGGCAUUUAAAGGAUUCUCAUCAAUCAUUAUCUAUCUAAUCAAAAUACUGAUUACUGGAGUAAUUGAUUAACCGAACAACUGAUUAACCAACUUGCUAUAGUAAUCGAAUAAUCGCACAGCCCUAAAACAACGCCAUUUUUUAUAAUUGGUUUAUUUUCAUUAACUCUGUUAGGAAUUGCUGUCCGCUGUUUUCAAGCCUCAAUACUACCUAUACAUUGGCAUAUAUGUACAUAUAAUCUUGGAGGGCAUUAGCGCACGCGCACUUUCAGCACCGCCUGUUUCUUCAAUGAAUUCCCCAAUGCGCCAGCACAUGCACUGUAUGUUACAUGCAUUCAGCUACUCAGUUUGCCAAUCGCGCCCUCAAUCGUAGCAAGUAAUGUGGUGGAUGGUAUUGUAAAGGGUUAUUUACCAAAAGAGAAACACUACUACAUCAAUUCUGUUGGUAUAAUACUCGCUGGUCUGCCUGAGCCACAUCGGAGUGUAAAUGAACACCAUGGGCAAUACAUUGAUACACCAGUCGUGCAAUACAAGCUUAACCGAGAGAGCACCUUUGAAUUAAAAUGCAUGCACCUUCGCGUUGAUGGGUGUCAGCUGGAUUGACAUAUUUAAACAUUACCUUAAUCAUGCAUAUUAAAGCGGAGUAUUCAA